GACUUUGAAAACUUCGGUCACACUACAAAGAAUACGAUUUUUCGACUUGUGAAACUCUUAGCCGAUCUGAGUACUAGGCCUAACCAAAAAAAACACAAAUGGGAAAAUGUCAAAUUUAAAAGGCACAAAAUGUUGAACACCAAGGACGCUUUAUAUUGCAGUUGGCAUGGCGAUGUACAUUGCCGCAAAAGAGCAAAAGGAGGCCGAAAAAAUGAAACAAAGGCGGAAAUAUUGGGUAGGUUCCUAUUUCAAGGAACGGUGUCUUAAAGGCCGCUAGAUAAGACUUUUAGGUCUUGGUCAACACGCCAUCAAUGUUCUUUGAAAACUUGUUAUGCCGGAGAGCGGUUUCAACGCGCUCUUUGGAUUGGUAGAGCAGUAUCUUAUCCCGAAACGGACACUCGGCCAGAUGCCAUACCGCUCAAUAAUUAAAAUAUAUAUACACAUAUGUCAAUUCUCAAAUACCAUAAUAGUAUUUAAAUAAUGUGAUUUAAUAUUCCUUGUUAGAUUUAUUGCUGCUAGUAGCGGAAUCCUUUUUUACAACUGUUAGGUAUGUACUUUUAAAUUUCGAAGAUAAUUAAAUAAGUAAACCUGUUGUAAUGUAGGGACUUAAUUCGAUUUGUCCCACAAUACGCUUGGAAAACGGAUUACAAUGUCAUAAUCGAAAUCUCUUCUACAUAUAUUAUCGGCGAUGAUGCAAUUCUCGAUCAUAAUCAGAGCAGUAUCUUAUCCCUUAUGUACUUUUAAAUUUCGAAGAUAAUUAAAUAAGUAAACCUGUUGUAAUGUAGGGACUUAAUUCGAUUUGUCCCACAAUACGCUUGGAAAACGGAUUACAAUGUCAUAAUCGAAAUCUCUUCUACAUAUAUUAUCGGCGAUGAUGCAAUUCUCGAUCAUAAUCGUGCUAUAAAGCAAGGACUUGCAUCGGAAUGAGCGCAUCUUUAAGGGAACGUUCUCUUUGUUUUGGAUCAAAAAAAGCCACAUAUCCGUAGAGUAUGUGUGUGAAAGGAUUUUUCGAUACGAUGAAUAGUUUGUGAAUGAGAGCGUCUCGAAUACACCUGCGUCACGCGCGCUGCGUACUUUUAAAAAACUUUAAACGCGUUUUUCUCGAAACCAUGUUUUCCAAAAAAAUUCCGCGUCCACAGCUUCAUCCUGUGAACCGAUUUGCUUCAUGUAAAAUUUUUAUGAAAGUAUAUGCUUUUUUAUUGGGCACUAAGCUACUCCGGAAAUAAACAAUAAUUUAUUUAUAAUUUUUCAACGUGGUUUAACUGAAAAAAAAUGUACGAAAAUCGAACUUUAAAAUUCGAACAUUCAUUACGCGGUCAAUUUAUGGCCGCAAUUUGAUGCCAUUAGUUGACUACAAGAGGCUGCAGGCUCGGAAUUUUUGGACGAUGUUUGCCGCGCGGAGGCAGACGAAAGCCGCCAUUUUGCAGCCGCCAUUUUGAAUUUCACCAUCAAAUAAAUUUUAAAAAAAUCUUGAAUAAUAAACGAAUUCAAAAAGCAAAACCCGAAGUUCGUACGCCUUUUCAUUAUCCCACAAAAAAUUGACGAACUUUGCCUUCAUUUCGACCAAAACAAAGAGAACGUUCCCUUAAUUAUACGC